rnacentral:rRNA from 1 species
GACGAACGCUGGCGGCGUGCUUAACACAUGCAAGUCGAACGGAGUGGCGAACGGGUGAGUAACACGUGGGUGACAUGCCCUGCACUUCGGGAUAAGCCUGGGAAACUGGGUCUAAUACCGGAUAGUGUGGGAUGGGCCCGCGGCCUAUCAGCUUGUUGGGGGUGUAAUGGCCUACCACAGCGGCGCCGGGUAGCCGGCCUGGGAGGGUGGACGGGCACAGUGGGACUGAGAGACGGCGCAGAGUCCUACGGGGGGCAGCGGUGGGGAAUAUUGCACAAUCGGCGGGAGCCUGAUGCAGCGACGCCGCGUGGGGGAUGACGGUCUUCGGGUUGUAAACUCCUUUCGCCAUCUACGCGGUAGAUGGAGAAGAAGCACCGGCUAACUACGUGCCAGCAGCCGCGGUAAUUC